rnacentral:rRNA from 1 species
AGUGAACGCUGGCGAUAGGCCUAACACAUGCAAGUCGAACGGCAGCACAGUAAGAGCUUGCUCUUACGGGUGGCGAGUGGCGGACGGGUGAGGAAUACAUCGGAAUCUACUUUUUCGUGGGGGAUAACGUAGGGAAACUUACGCUAAUACCGCAUACGACCUACGGGUGAAAGCAGGGGAUCUUCGGACCUUGCGCGAUUGAAUGAGCCGAUGUCGGAUUAGCUAGUUGGCGGGGUAAAGGCCCACCAAGGCGACGAUCCGUAGCUGGUCUGAGAGGAUGAUCAGCCACACUGUAACUGAGACACGGUCCAGACUCCUACGGGAGGCAGCAGUGGGGAAUAUUGGACAAUGGGCGCAAGCCUGAUCCAGCCAUACCGCGUGGGUGAAGAAGGCCUUCGGGUUGUAAAGCCCUUUUGUUGGGAAAGAAAAGCAGCAGGUUAAUACCCCGCUGUUCUGACGGUACCCAAAGAAUAAGCACCGGCUAACUUCGUG